rnacentral:pre_miRNA from 1 species
UUUGCUGUAAUAACGGCGGAAAACUCGCUCGUGCCAUCGUCGUCUUCACGAUGUCACGGCAGGUGUUCCCACGUUAAUCCCAAUU